AACAUAAACCAAAUUGAAUCAAAAUCAGAAAUACAACGAGUGAUAUCAGAAAGAAUUCCAUAGAGUUCAGUUACCAGGAUACCAGAAUUGAAUGCUCGGAUCGCUACCUGCAAGUCGGAGAGGAGAAUCAAGUUUCGGGAAUUAGCAUCUCUUGCCUGAAGUACCGCUGAUCUUAUUGCCAAAGUUUCUGCCGAUAAGGCCGACAACACAUGCUGAAGACAAGCAGAAUGUUCGGUCGAAUUGUGUUGAUCAUUUGUGAAGAUCCAUCCUAGACCCGCUGAUUGGUUAUCCGCUCUCCGUGCUGCGUCGGUAUAGCAUAGGAUAUAUUCCCUCCUCUGAAUUGGUGGAGAUUGAAGGAUAGUUCUGUCCUAGGGAGGUUCCGGUUGGGUCUGGACUUAGCCUAUAUACCACUCUCUAGCCUUGCCGAUCGCCUUAGUGAUUAGAUCUCCGGCAGUCAGUUUCCGAGAAUUGAAGAUUUGUUGAUUUCUAGCAGUCCAUAAGUUCCACAGGAUUCAAGGCUAUAAUCUCUCCUUAGUGGGUCCAAUUGGUGGCAAGUUGAUCGAUUCCUUGAUCAAAUUCAGUCCUGAAUACAGGUUUUCUACUUCACUUAAGUCGAUUUCAGUAUACCAGGCAUUGGUUGUUCGAUGAGACCUGCCGGAUUGACAACUGCUCACUGACUAGGAGUGCACUGUGAAUUGCUUUUCAUAUGAAUAGUUGGAUUUUUGAGGCUGUUUUCACUCUCCAUACAUGAGACUUCCAGUCAAUAGCCAGGUGAUUCGGGGAAGGUUCUAUAGGUAGCUCUUUGGACGAUGAUGAAAGCCAAGGAUCCUGCCAGACUUUAAUAGACGAUCCGUCACCAACCACCCAGCCAAGCUGCUUCACAAGAAGGUCUUUCCCUACAAGGAUACUUUCCACCCAUUCGAGCAACUGGAUGGAGUUGUACUCUCCAGGUACGAAGUCUCUGACAAUACUUUCCAAUUUAGACCCAAUAUAAGAGGCAAUGGGGAUUCUUUAAGAGUAUCCAAAUUAGAUUUGCAAGGAGAGCAUCAUUAAAAUUGUUGAUAUCCUUAAAACCCAGUCCUCCUAUUUUCUUAGGCUUAGCCAUUUUCUUCCAUGCAAGCCAGCUAAUUUUUCUUUGCUUCUGGUUUGAGUCCCACCAAAAAUCCUGGUGAGUGCCAACUGAAUUCCUUUGCAGAGAGACUGGAGGAACUUGAAGCAUGUCAUCGCGUAGGAUGGCAUAGCUGCUAACACACUUUUCAGCAUUACCAGUUUACCAGCGCUGGAUAGCAUUUUAGAAGUCCAACUAGCAGCUCUUGAUUUAUCUGGCCAACAAUGGAGCUGAAGAGAUCUUUUUUCUUUCUUCCAAUUGGAGUGUUUAGGUAAGCCCAAGUAUUUGCCAACUCCUCCCUCUGUUUCAAUUUUCAAAAUUUGCAUCAUCCGGUUCUUUUUUUGCUUGAAGGAUUUUCUUAGAGAAAGAAAUAGAGGAUUUUUGGUAGUUUAUAAGUUGACAUGAGACUGCUUCGUACUUGGAUAGAAUGAGCUUUAGUUCUUUGCAGCUUAUCUCGGUAGUUUUACAAAAGAACAUAAUGUCAUCUGCAAAUAGUAGAUGGUUAA